GAUGAACGCUGGCGGCGUGCUUAACACAUGCAAGUCGAACGAUGAAGCCCAGCUUGCUGGGUGGAUUAGUGGCGAACGGGUGAGUAACACGUGAGUAACCUGCCCUUAACUCUGGGAUAAGCCUGGGAAACUGGGUCUAAUACCGGAUAGGAGCGUCCACCGCAUGGUGGGUGUUGGAAAGAUUUAUCGGUUUUGGAUGGACUCGCGGCCUAUCAGCUUGUUGGUGAGGUAAUGGCUCACCAAGGCGACGACGGGUAGCCGGCCUGAGAGGGUGACCGGCCACACUGGGACUGAGACACGGCCCAGACUCCUAAGGGAGGCAGCAGUGGGGAAUAUUGCACAAUGGGCGAAAGCCUGAUGCAGCGACGCCGCGUGAGGGAUGACGGCCUUCGGGUUGUAAACCUCUUUCAGUAGGGAAGAAGCGAAAGUGACGGUACCUGCAGAAGAAGCACCGGCUAACUACGUG
rnacentral:rRNA from 1 species